rnacentral:rRNA from 1 species
UAGGGAAUCUUCCGCAAUGGGCGAAAGCCUGACGGAGCAACGCCGCGUGAGUGAUGAAGGUCUUCGGAUCGUAAAACUCUGUUAUUAGGGAAGAACAAAUGUGUAAGUAACUAUGCACGUCUUGACGGUACCUAAUCAGAAAGCCACGGCUAACUACGUGCCAGCAGCCGCGGUAAUACGUAGGUGGCAAGCGUUAUCCGGAAUUAUUGGGCGUAAAGCGCGCGUAGGCGGUUUUUUAAGUCUGAUGUGAAAGCCCACGGCUCAACCGUGGAGGGGCAUUGGAAACUGGAAAUCUUGAGUGCAGAAGAGGAAAGUGGAAUUCCAUGUGUAGCGGUGAAAUGCGCAGAGAUAUGGAGGAACACCAGUGGCGAAGGCGACUUUCUGGUCUGUAACUGACGCUGAUGUGCGAAAGCGGGGGGAUCAAACAGG